AUUGAACGCUGGCGGCAUGCCUUACACAUGCAAGUCGAACGGCAGCACGGGUGCUUGCACCUGGUGGCGAGUGGCGAACGGGUGAGUAAUACAUCGGAACAUGUCCUGUAGUGGGGGAUAGCCCGGCGAAAGCCGGAUUAAUACCGCAUACGAUCUACGGAUGAAAGCGGGGGACCCUCGGGCCUCGCGCUAUAGGGUUGGCCGAUGGCUGAUUAGCUAGUUGGUGGGGUAAAGGCCUACCAAGGCGACGAUCAGUAGCUGGUCUGAGAGGACGACCAGCCACACUGGGACUGAGACACGGCCCAGACUCCUACGGGAGGCAGCAGUGGGGAAUUUUGGACAAUGGGCGAAAGCCUGAUCCAGCAAUGCCGCGUGUGUGAAGAAGGCCUUCGGGUUGUAAAGCACUUUUGUCCGGAAAGAAAUCCUUGGCCCUAAUACGGUCGGGGGAUGACGGUACCGGAAGAAUAAGCACCGGCUAACUACGUG
rnacentral:rRNA from 1 species